GAGCAAAAGGGGUUGUAUUUAGUGAACAUAAAUUCAUCGCAUUUAUUUAUUCAGAAAACGUAAAAUUAUUAUUUGUCGCAAUUUUGGAUUCUAUAGAUUCUGAUGGCGGAAUCGUCUAGUGUAGGGAUAUAAGGAGAAUCUGUUGAUUGGAUAUUGCAGAGCCGCGGAUAGCUAAAUUAGGUUCUUCCAAUUGGAGAAGCACUGGUUACUGACAACUUACAUCCUUGGCUAGUCAUUGCUACACUGCGUUCAAAA